rnacentral:rRNA from 1 species
GGACCCGCACAAGCGGUGGAGUAUGUGGUUUAAUUCGAUGCAACACGAAGAACCUUACCAGGGUUUGAAAUCAUUUCAAAACUCCUUGAAAGAGGAGCCUCCUUCGGGAUGAAAUGACAGGUGGUGCAUGGCUGUCGUCAGCUCGUGUUGUGAAAUGUCGAGUUAAGUCUCGUAACGAGCGCAACCCAUGUCUCUUGUUGCUCACUGAGUGCUUAAGAGAGACUGCCGACCAACAUCGGAGGAAGGUGUGGAUGAUGUCAAGUCAGCAUGCCCCUUACAUCCUGGGGCUACACACGUACUACAAUGGUAAGGACAAUGAGUCGCAAGCUCGCGAGAGUCUGCU